rnacentral:lncRNA from 1 species
CGCAACCGGAGAAGAUCGGCCUUCAAACACAGAGAAACCCUAGGUCUAAAUUUGUUAAAAAUAGAACUUUACCAGAGAGCUGGUGAGGAACGUCAGAAACACACCCAAACCGUCCAUAGAAUGACAAUCGGGCCACCAGAAUGCGGUAAAACCGUAGGUCAAACCAUCAGAAACCCUAGAAGCCGAUAAGUCAUCAAAAUCAACCGUCCAAAAUCAUCACAAAGUCUUUCCGGAG